ensembl:lncRNA
AGAGAGUGUUUGUGAGUGUGUGUGUGUGUGAGAGUGUGUGGAUGAUGAUGUGCUGGUGGCAGAGGGAGAGCGCCUGAAGGGAAAGCCAAAGGUAAACGAGGGAGAGAGAAAGAAAAGAAAAGGUGAUAGAGUGAGAGAGAGAAGGAACACUAAGGCAUGAAGAGAAGGUGAUAGAGUGAGAGAGAGAAGGAAAAGAAAAGGUGAUAGAGUGAGAGAGAGAAGGAACACUAAGGCAUGAAGAGAAGGUGAUAGAGUGAGAGAGAGAAGGAAAAGAAAAGGUGAUAGAGUGAGAGAGAGAAGGAAAAGAAAAGGUGAUAGAGUGAGAGAGAG